GCCAUAGUUAACUGGCAGCAACACCUGUCUUUUAAGCAGGAGGUCCUGGGUUCAAUCCCUGAUGGAAUCU